AUUGAACGCUGGCGGCAUGCCUUACACAUGCAAGUCGAACGGUAGAGUAGCAAUACUUGAGAGUGGCGAACGGGUGAGUAAUAUAUCGGAACGUGCCCAGUCGUGGGGGAUAACGUAGAGAAAUUUACGCUAAUACCGCAUACGAUCUAAGGAUGAAAGCGGGGGAUUCGCAAGAACCUCGCGCGAUUGGAGCGGCUGAUAUCAGAUUAGGUUGUUGGUGAGGUAAAAGCUCACCAAGCCGACGAUCUGUAGCUGGUUUGAGAGAACGACCAGCCACACUGGGACUGAGACACGGCCCAGACUCCUACGGGAGGCAGCAGUGGGGAAUUUUGGGACAAUGGGCGAAAGCCUGAUCCAGCAAUGCCGCGUGCAGGAGAAGGCCUGGUGUAAGCGACUUUCUAGCGAGGAGGAAGAGU
rnacentral:rRNA from 1 species